rnacentral:lncRNA from 1 species
GUAGAUGAUGCCGACAGCCAUGUGAACCCGCGCCCGCGUGAUCCGUAUUAUUUUGCGGCCGACUGCAUAGUGUUUCUUUUGCCGCUGCGGGUGGCGUCUGCUCCGCCUGCGGCGAGGUCUUGCCAAUUGACGGCCGCCUGCUAAAGUGCGCCGAACUGCUAUGAACUGCAAACACGCCCAAACUCAUCCCAUGGGAUCCCGGCCGACGACGUGUCGCUCGAAGUCCGAGCAGGGAUCGACCUCCUCCAUGUACUGCGUCAUGGCGUCCAUUGCUCGUUCACAAGCAGAGGUAGAACACAGCUGGCGUAGCUGCGACGACGACGGGUUCCUGACAAAUCUGUCGGCCACGGUGGCGUGGUGGACGAGCACAUAAACGACGAUAUACGCGGCGACGCUCACUGCGCAUACGACGACCGCGGGUAUCAAGCAGCCCACCAGGCGGUACACCGAGCUGUGCGUCUUGGUAGCCAUUGACGAGCAAGGACUAAGGUCUGCGUUGUAACAAAGAGAAGGCUAAUGCAUUAAUUCCAUCACUUGCGGCUUGCAGUGCUUGAGUGAUCAUGUUGUUACGGAAGUGGUAUCUGUCAGUGGCAGAGUUCCCAGAUUCCGCUGAGCUAACAAGCAAAUAAUCAUCCAGAAAGAAGCGCACGAACACCAGCGCGGCUUUUGUGAAAAAUGUCAAGAGAAACGCCAUUGCAACAAGUUUUCUCAUUCCUGACAGUAUUUCUUAAAUAAGUCGAUGAAAAACGUAGGGAAGAUAAGAAUAUGCUUCGAUUAUUUUGUGAAGCGAAAAUACG